GUGGGGAAUAUUGGACAAUGGGCGAAAGCCUGAUCCAGCCAUGCCGCGUGUGUGAAGAAGGUCUUCGGAUUGUAAAGCACUUUAAGUUGGGAGGAAGGGCAGUAAGUUAAUACCUUGCUGUUUUGACGUUACCGACAGAAUAAGCACCGGCUAACUUCGUGCCAGCAGCCGCGGUAAUACGAAGGGUGCAAGCGUUAAUCGGAAUUACUGGGCGUAAAGCGCGCGUAGGUGGUUCAGUAAGUUGGAAGUGAAAUCCCCGGGCUCAACCUGGGAACUGCUUUCAAAACUGCUGAGCUAGAGUACGGUAGAGGGUGGUGGAAUUUCCUGUGUAGCGGUGAAAUGCGUAGAUAUAGGAAGGAACACCAGUGGCGAAGGCGACUACCUGGACUGAUACUGACACUGAGGUGCGAAAGCGUGGGGAGCAAACAGGAUUAGAUACCCUAGUAGUCC
rnacentral:rRNA from 1 species